rnacentral:rRNA from 1 species
GACGAACGCUGGCGGCGUGCCUAAUACAUGCAAGUGGGACGCAAGGACACACACUGUGCUUGCACACCGUGUUUUCUUGAGUCGCGAACGGGUGAGUAACGCGUAGGUAACCUGCCUAUUAGCGGGGGAUAACUAUUGGAAACGAUAGCUAAUACCGCAUAAUAUUAAUUAUUGCAUGAUAAUUGAUUGAAAGAUGCAAGCGCAUCACUAGUAGAUGGACCUGCGUUGUAUUAGCUAGUUGGUAGGUAAGAGCUUACCAAGGCGACGAUACAUAGCCGACCUGAGAGGGUGAUCGGCCACACUGGGACUGAGACACGGCCCAGACUCCUACGGGAGGCAGCAGGAGGGAAUCUUCGGCAAUGGACGAAAGUCUGAACGAGCAACGCCGCGUGAGUGAAGAAGGGUUUCGGAUCGUAAAGCUCUGUUGUAAGUCAAGAACGUGUGUGAGAGUGGAAAGUUCACACAGUGACGGUAGCUUACCAGAAAGGGACGGCUAACUACGUG